rnacentral:rRNA from 1 species
UGCCUUACACAUGCAAGUCGAACGGGCAGCACGGGAGCAAUCCUGGUGGCGAGUGGCGAACGGGUGAGUAAUAUAUCGGAACGUGCCCGGUCUGGGGGGAUAACGUAGCGAAAGCUACGCUAAUACCGCAUACGAUCUACGGAUGAAANCGGGGGAUCGCAAGACCUCGCGCGAUUGGAGCGGCCGAUAUCAGAUUAGGUAGUUGGUGAGGUAAAGGCUCACCAAGCCGACGAUCUGUAGCUGGUCUGAGAGGACGACCAGCCACACUGGGACUGAGACACGGCCCAGACUCCUACGGGAGGCAGCAGUGGGGAAUUUUGGACAAUGGGCGCAAGCCUGAUCCAGCAAUGCCGCGUGCAGGAUGAAGGCCUUCGGGUUGUAAACUGCUUUUGUACGGAACGAAACGGUGAGCUCUAAUACAGUUUGCUAAUGACGGUACCGUAAGAAUAAGCACCGGCUAACUACGUG